UACAAAAUAAUAUGUUUAAAUAGUUCAAACCGGUGAGGAGUACCCCUCGUGAGGAGGGCAUACUAUUUUUUUUUAUUAUUUUUUUAUUUUUUAUUCCUUUGUUUUUCUUUUAUCAUCAUCUUACUAUUAAGAUAUAUUUUGGAAAUAUAUUUGAUAUAUCUUGAUAUUAUUAUUCGAUAGGAUAUAUCUAUGUUAAUUAGAUCGAUAUAUUUAGGUAGCUUUCCUAGUUGUUUCCAAAUUCUAAGGACUUUAUAUAUAUAUAUAUAUAUAGGGUCGGGAUCCGGUGAGAACCACCCUUUAUGUGAGAACACUCCUAAUAUAUGAGAACAAAUCUAAGCCUUAGGAUCAAACAAUAUCAACGGCUCUAAUAAAUCCAAACUUUUCAUCCAUAUACUUCCUGCUACUCAGAAAAACAGAGUGAAGAAACUACGAGCUUCAAUUUCAAUGAGAUUCAAGGAUUUCGAACACAAUUUCGUUUGAUUUUUGUCAGAAUUCAGCAGCAACAAGAAUCAACAAGCUUCAUAGAUUAUACAGGUUGGGAUUAGGUCUAUCCAAAGUGAAAUGUCAAACAUUAAUAUCAGGGGGAGUGCGAGGUACCCUUUCUUGGAUGGAACCUGAGCUUCUGAGUGGCAGCAACAGUCUAGUCUCGUCUCUGAGAAGGAGGAAUUGUGAGCAACACUUUGUGACCACCUAUUCCUGUGAAUUGUGACCCAGAGUGGAGAAAUGCUGUGCUGCAGACCCACUACAGAGGCCGAACUUCACAGAAAUCGCCAACGAGUUGCGCGUUAUGGCUGCCAAAAUUUCAGCUAAGGGGCAAACACCAGUUACAACUACAAGAACAAACACCUAGUUGGUUUUAAUUUUCUUGGCUCUCAUUCAGUUAAUGUCUAGUUGGAGUAUGUAUAUGGCCUAUGCUAAUUUGGCAUCAUAGUCUUAUGGAUAUCAUAUGGAUAGUUGCUCAUUUGUCAAAUGAGCAAACAAUUCUUUGUUCAUUUUAUCAAAUGAGUAAAUAAUUCUUUGUUCA